GUAAUUUGUAGAGGAUGCUUCGGGCGAGGCCGCGGUCUAAUUUGCUUGGAACAGCGAGUCACAGAGGGUGAGAGUCCCGUCUCGGACCGUGCGCCGCGUCCAUGUGAAGCUCCUUCGACGAGUCGAGUUGUUUGGGAAUGCAGCUCUAAAUGGGUGGUAAAUUUCAUCUAAAGCUAAAUAUUGGCCAGAGACCGAUAGCGCACAAGUAGAGUGAUCGAAAGAUGAAAAGCACUUUGAAAAGAGAGUUAAACAGUAUGUGAAAUUGUUGAAAGGGAAGCGCUUGCAACCAGACUUGCGUGUGACGGUUCCCCCCACCUUCUGGUGGGGCUACUCCGUCAUCUCCAGGCCAGCAUCGGUUUGGGUGGUCGGUCAAAGACCCCGGGAAUGUAUCUACCUCCGGGUCGACUUAUAGCCCGGGGUGCAAUGCGGCCCACAUGGACCGAGGAACGCGCUUCGGCCCGGAUGCUGGCGUAAUGGUUGUAAGCGGCCCGUCUUGAAACACGGACCAAGGAGUCUAACAUCUAUGCGAGUGUUUGGGUGUCAAACCCCUACGCGUAAUGAAAGUGAANGGAGGUAAGAACCCCGNNNGGGCGCAUUAUCGACCGAUCCUGAUGUCUU
rnacentral:rRNA from 1 species